rnacentral:rRNA from 1 species
GACGUAGGUGGCAAGCGUUGUUCGGAAUCACUGGGCAUAAAGCGCACGUAGGCGGCUGAGUAAGUCGCGUGUGAAAGCCCCCGGCUCAACUGGGGAGGGUCACGCGAUACUGAUCGACUCGAAGGCAGGAGAGGGUAGUGGAAUUCCCGGUGUAGUGGUGAAAUGCGUAGAUAGUCGGGAGGAACACCAGUGGCGAAGGCGACUACCUGGCCUGUUCUUGACGCUGAGGCGCGAAAGCUAGGGGGAGCAAACGGG